rnacentral:rRNA from 1 species
GACGAACGCUGGCGGCAUGCUUAACACAUGCAAGUCGAACGGAAACGCCCGGUCUUGGUGCGCUCGGGGGCUUGACGACGGGGGAGUAGCCCUUAGGUUACCAAUAACUCACUGAGGGAGGUGCUAAUACCGGUGAAUGUCAUAGGGCCAAAGAGUUAUCGCCUUGGGAUGGGGGCGCGUUGGAUUAGCUGGUUGGUAGGGUAAUAGCCUAGCAAGGACACGUUGCAUGGCUGGUGUGUUAGGAGGACCCGCAAGACUGGGACUGAGACACGGACCAGUCUCCUACGGGACGGAGCAGUGGGGAAUAUUGUGCGAUGGGCCAAAGCCUGAUCCAGCAAUGCCGCGUGAGUGAUGAAGGCGUUAGGGUUGUAAAGCUCUUUUAGCCGAGAUGAUAAUGACAGUACCGGGAGAAUAAGCACCGGCUAACUCCGUG